rnacentral:rRNA from 1 species
GACGAACGCUGGCGGCGUGCUUAACACAUGCAAGUCGAACGGAAAGGCCCGGCUUUGGGGGGGUGCUCUAGUUGCGAACUGGUGAGUAACACGUGAGUAACCUGCCCUUGACUGUGGGAGAACUUCAUGAAACUGGGGCUAAUACCGGAUAGGAGCUCCUGCUGCAUGGUGGGGGUGGGAAAGUUUCGGCGGUUGGUGAUGGACUCGCGUCUUAUCAGAUUGUUGGUGGGGUAGUGGCUUACCAAGGCUUUGACGGGUAGCAGGCCUGAGAGGGUGACCGGACACACUGGGCCGGAGAUACGGCACAGCCUCCUACGGGAGGCAGCAGUGGGGAAUAUUGCAUAAUGGGCGGAAGCAUGAUGUAGUCAAGCCGCGUGCGGGAUGACGGGCUGGGGGUUGUAAACCGAUUUCGCCUGUGCCGAAGCGUGAGUGACGGUAAUGGGUAAAGAAGCACCGGCUAACUACGUG